rnacentral:rRNA from 1 species
AAUAGAUACCCGGGUAGUCCACGCCGUAAACGAUGAGUGCUAAGUGUUAGGGGGUUUCCGCCCCUUAGUGCUGCAGCUAACGCAUUAAGCACUCCGCCUGGGGAGUACGGCCGCAAGGCUGAAACUCAAAGGAAUUGACGGGGGCCCGCACAAGCGGUGGAGCAUGUGGUUUAAUUCGAAGCAACGCGAAGAACCUUACCAGGUCUUGACAUCUCCUGACCGCCCUGGAGACAGGGUCUUCCCUUCGGGGACAGGAUGACAGGUGGUGCAUGGUUGUCGUCAGCUCGUGUCGUGAGAUGUUGGGUUAAGUCCCGCAACGAGCGCAACCCUUGUCCUUAGUUGCCAGCAUUCAGUUGGGCACUCUAAGGAGACUGCCGGCUAAAAGUCGGAGGAAGGUGGGGAUGACGUCAAAUCAUCAUGCCCCUUAUGACCUGGGCUACACACGUGCUACAAUGAGCGGUACAGAGGGUCGCGAACCCGCGAGGGGGAGCCAAUCCCAAAAAACCGCUCUCAGUUCGGAUUGCAGG